rnacentral:rRNA from 1 species
CCCUUAGAUGUUCUGGGCUGCACACGUGCUACACUGGCAGGUUCAGCGAGCUUCAUGCCCUGAUCUGAAAGGAAUGGGAAAUCUUUUCAAAACCUGCCGUGCUUGGGAUAGAUGUUUGCAAUUAUUCAUCUUCAACGAGGAUUGCCUUGUAAGCGCACGUCAUCAGCGUGCAUUGAAUACGACCCUGUAUUCUGUACACACCGCCCGUCGCACCUACCGAUUGAAUGGUCCGGUGAAGCCUCGGGAUUGUGGCCAGUUCACUUUAUUGGGAGUUGGCUGUGAGAACUUGUCUAAACCUUAUCAUUUAGAGGAAGGUGAAGUCGUAACA